rnacentral:rRNA from 1 species
GUACAGGUGCUGCAUGGCUGUCGUCAGCUCGUGUCGUGAGAUGUCGGUUAAGUCCGCUAACGAGCGCAACCCUCGCUGUGUGUUACAAGUGUCACACAGGACCGCCGGUCUUAAGCCGGAGGAAGGUGGGGAUGACGUCAAGUCAGCAUGGCCUUUAUGUCCAGGGCUACACACACGCUACAAUGGUCAGCACAAUAGGUAGCCAAGCCGCGAGGUGGAGCCAAUCCUCAAAGCUGGCCUCAGUUCAGAUCGCAGGCUGCAACCCGCCUGCGUGAAGCCGGAGUUGCUAGUAACCGCAGGUCAGCUAUACUGCGGUGAAUACGUUCCCGGGGCUU